rnacentral:tRNA from 1 species
GUAUUGGUGGUUCAGUGGUAGAAUUCUCACCUUCCAUGCGGGAGACCCGGGUUUAAUUCCUGGCCAAUGCG